UACGUAGGGUGCGAGCGUUGUCCGGAAUUAUUGGGCGUAAAGAGCUCGUAGGCGGUUUGUCACGUCUGCUGUGAAAUCCCGAGGCUCAACCUCGGGCCUGCAGUGGGUACGGGCAGACUGGAGUGCGGUAGGGGAGAAUGGAAUUCCUGGUGUAGCGGUGGAAUGCGCAGAUAUCAGGAGGAACACCGAUGGCGAAGGCAGUUCUCUGGGCCGUAACUGACGCUGAGGAGCGAAAGCUGGGGGAGCGAACAGG
rnacentral:rRNA from 1 species